CACAGGAACCGAACCCUCACAGGGCCAGGAAUACUGGAACUGCCAGGAGGAGCCACCAGUCAGGAGCCAUCCAUGAGAAUGGAGAUCUUUAGGAAGAGCCAGAGGCAGAGUGACCAGGGGAGCAGAGCAGACAGGGAGCUGCAGACAAGGGAGUUUGAGAGGAACAGCAAGAGCUCCUGCUGCUGAACAGGCUACCAGGAGAGAAGGAAUCACCCUCUACAGUAAAGGAGGAGAAGCCUCGUGCCCCUAAGGCUGGGAGGUCUGCUGCGACCACUGUGAAUAGGAGACGUAGGGUAGUGGUGGUCAGAGACUCUCUGCUGAGGGGGACGGAGGCGUCCAUCUGUCGCCCUGACAUUUCAUCUGGGGAGGUAUGCUGCCUGCUGGGGGCCCAUAUCUGAGAUGUUACAGAGGCAUUGUCGAGGAUUAUCCAGCCCUCUGACUACUACCCCAUGCUACUCGUCCAUGUGGGCACAAAUGAUACUGCGAGGUGUGACACUGAGUGGAUCAAGAGUGACUACAGGGCUCUGGGAGUACGCGUGAAGGAGUUUGGAGUGCAGGUGUUAUUCUCUUCGAUUCUUCCUGUCAAAGGUAGGGGCUCGGGCAGAGACAGAUGCAUCAUGGAGGUGAAUGCCUGGCUGCGAAGAUGGUGUUGCCAGGAGGGCUUUGGCUUCCUCGACCACGGGAUGCUAUUUGAGGAAGGACCGCUAGGCAGAGAUGGUGUUCACCUUUUGAGCAGAGGAAAAACCCUAUUUGCACACAGACUGCCUAAGCUAGUGAGGAGGGCUUUAAACUAGGUUCGACGGGGACAGGUGAGCAAAGCCCACAGGUAAGUGGGGAACAUGGAGACCUGGGAGAUGGGUCAGAAACAAGAGGGAGCGUGGGCUAUAAUGGCAGAGAAAAAGAAGGGUCAGGGCAAAACUGGGAGGCAAGAUCAAACCAGUAUCUUAGAUGCCUAUAUACAAAUACGAGAAGUAUGGGUAAUAAGCAGGAAGAACUGGAAGUGCUAAUAAAUACAUACAUACAUACAUACAACUAUGACAUUGUUGGCAUCACUGAAACUUGGUGGGAUAAUACACAUGAUUGGAAUGUUGGUGUGGAUGGGUACAGCUUGCUCAGGAAGGAUAGACCGGGGAAAAAGGGAGGAGGUGUUGCCUUAUAUUUUAAAAAUGUACACACUCUAAAAGGGGUAAAAAACAAGGGUGAUGUUGUGCUAGAAGUCUACUAUAGGCCACCUACCCAGGUGUAAGAGGUGGAUGAGGCUUUUUUUAAACAACUAACAAAAUCAUCCAAAGCCCAAGAUUUGGUGGUGACACCGCGGGGCACAGACUAUCCAAUUAGUUCUUGGACUGCAUUGCAGACAACUUUUUAUUUCAGAAGGUUGAAAAAGCUACUGGGGGGAAGCUGUUCUAGACUUGAUUUUAACAAAUAGGGAGGAACUCAUUGAAAAUUUGAAAGUAGAAGGAAGCUUGGGUGAAAGUGAUCAUGAAAUCAUAGAGUUUGCAAUUCUAAAGAAGGAUAGAAGGGAGUACAGCAAAAUAGAGACAAUGGAUUUCAGGAAGGCAGAUUUUGGUAAGCUCAGAGAGCUGAUAGGUAAGGUCCCAUGGGAAUCAAGACUGAGGGGAAAAACAACUGAGGAGAGUUGGCAGUUUUUCAAAGGGACACUAUUAAGGGCCCAAAAGCAAGCUAUUCCGCUGGGUAGGAAAGAUAGAAAAUGUGGCAAAAGACCACCUUGGCUUAACCACAAGGUCUUGCAUGAUCUAAAAAAUAAAAAGGAGUAAUAUAAAAAAAUGGAAACUAGGCCAGAUUACAAAGGAUGAAUAUAGGCAAACAACACAGGAACGCCGGGGCAAGAUUAGAAAGGCAAAGGCACAAAAUGAGCUCAAAUUAGCUUUGGGAAUAAAGGGAAACAAGACGACUUUUUAUCAAUACAUUAGAAGCAAGAGGAAGACCAAGGACAGGGUAGGCCCACUGCUCAGUGAGGAGGGAGAAACAGUAACAGGAAACUUGGAAAUGGCAGAGAUGCUUAAUGACUUCUUUGUUUCGGUCUUCACUGAGAAGUCUGAAGAAAUGUCUAACACAGUGAAUACUUAUGGGAAGGGGGUAGGUGUAGAAGAUAAAAUAAAAAAAGAACAAGUUAAAAAUCACUUAGAAAAGUUAGAUGCCUCCAAGUCGCCAGGGCCUGAUGAAAUGCAUCCUAGAAUACUCAAGGAGUGAAUAGAGGAGGUAUCUGAGCCACAAGCUAUUAUCUUUGGAAAAUCAUGGGAGACGGGAGAGAUUCCAGAAGACUGGAAAAGGGCAAAUAUAGUGCCCAUCUAUAAAAAGGGAAAUAAAAACAACCCAGGAAACUGCAGACCAGUUAGUUUAACUUCUGUGCCAGGGAAGAUAAUGGAGCAAGUAAUUAAAGAAAACAUCUGCAAACACUUGGAAGGUGGUAAGGUGAUAGGGAAUAGCCAGCAUGGAUUUGUAAAGAACAAAUCGUGUCAAACCAAUCUGAUAGCUUUCUUUGAUAGGAUCACGAGUCUUGUGGAUAAGGGGGAGAAGCAGUGGAUGUGGUAUACCUAGACUUUAGUAAGGCAUUUGAUAUGGUCUCGCAUGAUAUUCUUAUUGAUAAACUAGGUAAAUACAAUUUAGAUGGGGCUACUAUAAGGUGAGUGCAUAACUGGCUGGAUAACCGUACUCAGAGGGUAGUUAUUAAUGGUUCCCAAUUCUGCCGGAAAGGUAUAACAAGUAGGGUUCCGCAGGGGUCUGUUUUGGGACCGGCUCUGUUCAAUAUCUUCAUCAACGACUUAGAUAUUGGCAUAGAAAGUAUGCUUACUAAGUUUGCAAAUGAUACCAAACUGGGAGGGAUUGCAACUGAUUUGGAGGACAGGGUCAUAAUUCAAAAUGAUCUGGACAAAUUGGAGAAAUGGUCUGAGGUAAACCGGAUGAAGUUUAAUAAAGACAAAUGCAAAGUGCUCCAAAGUUAGAAAGGAACAAUCAGUUUCACACAUACAGAAUGAGAAGAGACUGUCUAGGAAGGAGUAUGGCAGAAAGGGAUCUAGGGGUCAUAGUGGACCACAAGCUAAAUAUGAUUUAACAGUGUGAUACUGUUACAAAAAAAGCAAAUGUGAUUCUGGGAUGCAUUAACAGGUGUGUUGUGAGCAAGACACAAGAAGUCAUUCUUCCACUCUACUCUGCACUGGUUAGGCCUCAACUGGAGUAUUGUGUCCAGUUCUGGGCACCGCAUUUCAAGAAAGAUGUGGAGAAUUUGGAGAGAGUCCAGAGAAGAGCAACAAGAAUAAUUAAAGGUCUUGAGAACAUGACCUAUGAAGGAAGGCUGAAAGAAUUGGGUUUAUUUAGUUUGGAAAAGAGAAGACUUAGAGGGGACAUGAUAGCAGUUUUCACGUAUCUAAAAGGGUGUCAUCAGGAGGAGGGAGAAAACUUGUUCACCUUAGCCUCUAAUGAUACAACAAGAAGCAAUGGGCUUAAAUUGCAGCAAGAGAGAUUUAGGUUGGACAUUAGGAAAAAGUUCCUAACUGUCAGGGUAGUUUAACACUGGAAUAAAUUGCCUAGGGAAAUUGUGGAAUCUCCAUCUCUGGAGAUAUUUAAGAGUAGGUUAGAUAAAUGUCUGUCAGGGAUGGUCUAGACAGUAUUUGGUCCUGCCAUGAGGGCAGGGGACUGGACUCAAUGACCUCUCGAGGUCCCUUCCAGUCCUAGAGUCUAUGAAUCUAUGAAAAGGUGCUUUCAUAAACCACAUUUCUCUGAGAUAUAAAGUAUAAAUCAAACAUAGCUAGAACUCUUUCAUAGUCAUCUUUGUAACUGUCUUAGUAAAGGUAAAAGAUUUAAGAUAUGCUCAGCCUGCUUCCUCGUAGCAUAAAUUAAAAAUGGUUCCUGAAUAUCUUGUUCCUUAUGGAGUUUUAUAGCAAUACAAAAUGUUGCUUCCAUUCUGUCCAUUCUCGCCCAUGCACAUUGUGACAGUUAGAUUUGCUAAGCACAGGGAUGACAAGGCUGGGAGCAGAGGACAUGUGUCCCCUCCCCAAACUGCAGCUGCUUGCAAUCUCUCCACUUGGUAUUAGUGUAGCUGUAUAUUAAUUAAGGUGUGUGGCCUGCUGAAGGACAGGAGGCAUCCUCUCAGGGAAAAUCUCUGGAGCUUAUAGUGUACACUGCCAUCUGAACUGAUGAUGGCCAUUAACCCACCCCAUUAUGGUUUCUAUGCAACAGUGGAGGAAGCACAAGCUCUGUCUGCAGGGAGCAAGAUCUGGGUCCCCAGUGCUGAAAGGAGAAGGAACCAGAGAGGCAUAUGGUCUAAUUUUGGUUGAUGCGUUUAGUGUGUGGGUGCUGGUGGCCUGUGACACACAGGAGCUCAAAUUAGAUAAUCUGGUAUUCCCUUCUGGUCUUAAACUCUCUGUGAUAGUGCUUAUACAACAUAGGAAUGUGAGAGACACUGGAUUUUACUAUGAUCUUCCUACAGACGGCAGCCAACACUGGUUUGGCUGGCACUGCCCACUGCCAAUUUUGCCCUGUCUCUGCCACUGUUUUCCAAAGGACAGAACAGAGUGGAUUUUUCUGCAUAAUAAAUGUGCUGGAUAUCUGUAGGUAAUUCCUCCCCUUCUAUCCA